AUACCCUUCAGGUGUGGCUUGCUUUGGGGACUAAUGACAUGCUAAGAUCUAGUCUCAUCCAUGGUGACUACAUCAUGAGAAGCCAUAUUGAAUCAAAGUAAAUGUCACCUUCUAUAGAGUUUAAGACCAGCAAGAAAAUGAGACCUUGUCCUGGGCCGGACUUUCAUUUCCAUUCCUGAACUAAAUACCAUCUUCAGGAGAAUUUCGUGCUCUGGUCAGGAGGAAAUCUAGCCCACACCCCAUGUAACUGGGCUAGAUUCAGGAGAAAUGGAGGGAAUAGGGGGUGGGGGCAGCGGGGGAUAGAGAUGAGAUGAGAUGAUGCUGUUGGGAAAGAGAAACAGAAGUGGAAUGGCAGGAAGACACAGAAGCCUAAGGUAUAUUCUCUCUUGGGUCACCUACAUUCACAGACCCCCUGCUAGCCUCUUCUCUUCUCAAGAUGUCUGAUUUGUCCUGGUUUCACUCCCAGCAGGUAGAAUUGAGAGAAGAUGCCUGGAAACCUUAUAAACCAGAAAACAGGACUUCUGCUCUGAGCUCAACAUGCUCCCUUGCAGACUCACCUUAGAGGAUCAACCAGAACGGGACGAGACAGCAGAUGCUCCUGCUGCAGUGACUUCCCUACACUGAUGGACUGGAACCUGGAACUGUGAGCUGAACUAUAUUCUCAGCAACAAGAGAAACUCCGCACAGCUCCCAGGAAGGUGAGCAGCACCCCUGACUGUCAUGAGGCA
rnacentral:lncRNA from 1 species